rnacentral:rRNA from 1 species
CCUACGGGAGGCAGCAGUGGGGAAUAUUGCACAAUGGGGGAAACCCUGAUGCAGCGACGCCGCGUGAGUGAAGAAGUAUUUCGGUAUGUAAAGCUCUAUCAGCAGGGAAGAAAAUGACGGUACCUGAUUAAGAAGCCACGGCUAACUACGUGCCAGCAGCCGCGGUAAUACGUAGGGGGCAAGCGUUAUCCGGAUUUACUGGGUGUAAAGGGGACGUAGACGGCUGCACAAGUCUGGAGUGAAAUGCCGGGGCUUAACCCCGGAACUGCUUUGGAAACUGUGCAGCUAGAGUGCAGGAGAGGUAAGUGGAAUUCCUAGUGUAGCGGUGAAAUGCGUAGAUAUUGGGAGGAACACCAGUGGCGAAGGCAGCUUACUGGACUGUAACUGACGUUGAGGCUCGAAAGCGUGGGGAGCGAACAGGAUUAGAUACCCUAGUAGUC